GAUUUUACGUGAAAUUUGUAUAAACCGAGGAAGUAUACUUGUUGCGAACAAAAUAUCCGAAACCUAAGUUCGAAUCCUAGUUGAUUCACAUUUCCAGCUAAGUUUAUUUCUAAAUGAAAUAAAACGAAGCGUGUAGCGUGCUGUCUAUCUCUUAAAAAAAAAAAAAAAACUUUUUUAAACUAAGUUUUCACCAGCAUUGCGACUGAAUUACAAUCCUUCAAACCAACUCUGUCAAAU
rnacentral:lncRNA from 1 species